rnacentral:rRNA from 1 species
GACGAACGUUGGCGGCGUGCUUAAUACAUGCAAGUCAACUGAAGCAGUGGUAGCAAUAUCGCUGUGGAGGUGGCGCACGGGUGAGUAACACGUAGGUAAUCUGCCUUCAGGUCUGGCAUAACUCCGGGAAACCGGGGCUAAUAGCAGAUGAUGCAGCGGCUCGACAUCGAGACAGUUGUUAAAGCUAUGGCGCCUGAAGAUGAGCCUGCGUCUGAUUAGCUAGUUGGCGGGGUAACGGCCCACCAAGGCAACGAUCAGUAGCUGGUCUGAGAGGAUGAUCAGCCACACUGGAACUGAGACACGGUCCAGACUCCUACGGGAGGCAGCAGUAAGGAAUAUUGCUCAAUGGGAGAAAUCCUGAAGCAGCAACGCCGCGUGAGGGACGAAGGGCUUUUGCUUGUAAAACUCUGUAGUGAGAGAAAAAAAUCCCAAUCUUUGGGACAUGAUGGUAUCUCAAAAGUAAGCCCCGGCUAACUACGUG